rnacentral:rRNA from 1 species
GACGAACGCUGGCGGCGUGCUUAACACAUGCAAGUCGAACGGAAAGGCCCUGCUUUUGUGGGGUGCUCGAGUGGCGAACGGGUGAGUAACACGUGAGUAACCUGCCCUUGACUUUGGGAUAACUUCAGGAAACUGGGGCUAAUACCGGAUAGGAGCUCCUGCUGCAUGGUGGGGGUUGAAAAGUUUCGGCGGUUGGGGAUGGCCUCGCGGCUUAGCAGCUUGUUGGUGGGGUAGUGGCUUACCAAGGCUUUGCCGGGUAGCCGGCCUGAGAGGGUGACCGGCCACAUUGGGACUGAGAUACGGCCCAGACUCCUACGGGAGGCAGCAGUGGGGAAUAUUGCACAAUGGGCGGAAGCCUGAUGCAGCAACGCCGCGUGCGGGAUGACGGCCUUCGGGUUGUAAACCGCUUUCGCCUGUGACGAAGCGUGAGUGACGGUAAUGGGUAAAGAAGCACCGGCUAACUACGUG